CAGUAUAAUGGUCCUCAUGCACGGCAUGAUCGCAAGUCUGAUGACACAGACUAAUGACUGGUGAGGCAUGGUCAGAUCAAGAAUUGCUGCCGUAAUAUGGAUGCAUAAAAAACUCAGAUGAACUUCAUCUCCUGUGCUCCUCCACUCAUCGGCAGGGAACACCACAUCUCUCCUCAUCUUCACUUCCCUGUGGUGACUGUGCACCAGACACUCUCUGAUAUUUC